CAGUUCAAGACAAAUUCCAGAUUUCAAAGCUCAAUUUGAAAAAAGGAAAGGCAGGGCAAAUGAUGGGCAAAUUGGACAAACUAGGCAUCGUUAGAAAGCUUAAGGUGUCCUUUACGAAUUCCUAUUAGGUGACAAUUGCAAUUUAAGUCUUUUUCUAGUUCAAGCAAAGCCAUUUGUAUAAAUGGUCAGAUCAGAUCAUAACAAGCAGAACACAUCAGCAGAUUAGUGCUCUUUGCAAGAAGCAUCAGGCAGGGCAAAUGAUGGUCAAAUCGCACAUAUAAUAUGUCUAUGGAAAGCUUGAGAAGUCUAUUACAAAUCACUAGAAGAUGUUAAGUCCUAAUAACAUCACCUAGCAGUUCAUAUCAAGCGGUUUACACAGAAGGUCAUUCAGAACAGAGAGCAAGUCAGAACACCAAAAUUUUCCAGAAAACUGGUGCUAAAUGCCGAGCUACUUUCAGGUAGUAAACGACAUCGGAUCGGAACGUUCUGUGGGUCGUUGGAAAGGUCUUUGAGUCUUCUUCAACUCUCGUGAAUACAUCGAACACAGAAAACCACAGCAACCAGCUCAUAUCAGGUCAUUUGCACAAAAGGUCAUCCGAAACAGA
rnacentral:lncRNA from 1 species